rnacentral:rRNA from 1 species
UACGUAGGGUGCAAGCGUUUGUCCGGAAUUAUUGGGCGUAAAGAGCUCGUAGGCGGUUUGUCGCGUCGGCUGUGAAAACCUGGGGCUCAACCCCGGGCCUGCAGCCGAUACGGGCAAACUAGAAUUCGGUAGGGGAGACUGGAAUUCCUGGUGUAGCGGUGAAAUGCGCAGAUAUCAGGAGGAACACCGGUGGCGAAGGCGGGUCUCUGGGCCGAUAUUGACGCUGGAGGAGCGAAAGCGUGGGGAGCAAACAGG